UGAAAGUGUGCUCAGGUUUAGUUUGUUUGUAGCACUUCAAAGUGGUUAUUAAAAACUGUAUCCUCAAUUAAGGCUCCGCACCAGAGUCCUUUUGUGCAGGCAUUGUUCUAAUAGACAGUGGUUGUUCAUCUGGACUGGUAUUAAUGUCUCUAUUUUUUUCUGAAGUUCCCAUUUAUUUUGCUGUAUUGCUGUGGAUAUUCACCCUCGUACUCUGGACAGUGGUUUGGGGAUUUUUUUCCUUCAUUCCACCACUAGAAUACUUUUUUUAUUGCAUGGCAGUAAAAUUCUCUAAAGCAGUAACCUGGCUGCAGAAUGGCAUUUUCUGGCAAAGGGAUGCUGCUUCUGCCAGCCAGCACUGCACUGUUCUUGGUGUCUUGGUGCCAUUUUUCACUGUAUCCCGUAUUCCCAGAAUCCAGGGCUAUCUCUCAGGGUUCUGAAGGAGUGCUGUAUUUGGAUUUUUGGCUUCAGUGUGGGAAGUGCAUGAUGUAACCUGUGGCAUCUCAGCUGUAGGCCAGGAACCCUGGAAAAGCAAGCUCUCAUUCACGAGGAGCCGCUUCCUCUCGAAAGUCCAGCUGUCUUGCAAGAGGUGCCGCACAGGGUAGGAAGAGUUGGGAGCGAACAGUCUGAGGAAGUGGACUGUGGAAGCUGAAGGUUGUCCAGCCAAAGCUGAGUGUGUGGCUCUGACACUGACCAAGGCUGGAAAGAGUUACUGUGUGGACAGAGAAUGUUAGAGCCGGGUGAGCUUUCACAGGAUGAAAGAAGCGAGGAGAGAAUCGAAUGGAAAGAAUUGCUGAGAUCAGGCAGCUGGCAAAAGAGGAGAGAGCCCCUGCGAGGCAGAGCCCCUGGAAUGCCCUGUCCUGGUCUGAGGUUCCCACUUUUAUCUCCGACUCCCGGAGAAUUGCUGGAGCAGAACCAGAGAGUGUCCAUUUUAUUUCCUGCCUUUUCCAAUAAACGGUGACUUUCAGCUGGAGUGUGUUCCUGGUG